rnacentral:rRNA from 1 species
AGUGAACGCUGGCGGUAGGCCUAACACAUGCCAGUCGAACGGCAGCACAGUAAGAGCUUGCUCUUACGGGUGGCGAGUGGCGGACGGGUGAGGAAUACAUCGGAAUCUACUUUUUCGUGGGGGAUAACGUAGGGAAACUUACGCUAAUACCGCAUACGACCUACGGGUGAAAGCAGGGGAUCUUCGGACCUUGCGCGAUUGAAUGAGCCGAUGUCGGAUUAGCUAGUUGGCGGGGUAAAGGCCCACCAAGGCGACGAUCCGUAGCUGGUCUGAGAGGAUGAUCAGCCACACUGGAACUGAGUCACGGUCCAGACUCCUACGGGAGGCAGCAGUGGGGAAUAUUGGACAAUGGGCGCAAGCCUGAUCCAGCCAUACCGCGUGGGUGAAGAAGGCCUUCGGGUUGUAAAGCCCUUUUGUUGGGAAAGAAAAGCAGCAGGUUAAUACCCCGCUGUUCUGACGGUACCCAAAGAAUAAGCACCGGCUAACUUCGUG